rnacentral:tRNA from 1 species
CCUUCGAUAGCUCAGAUGGUAGAGCGGAGGACUGUAGAUCCUUAGGUCGCUGGUUCAAUUCCGGCUCGAAGGA